rnacentral:tRNA from 1 species
GCGCCAUAGUACGGCGCUACGAGCAAGGGGACUUCUAAUCCCAAGGUCGUAGGUUCGAGUCCUACCGGGCGCACCA